CAAUGCAUAUUCUACCUGUUUGUUGCUUUUGCUCUCUCUGUUAUUAUUUCAGUUAAUUUGUGUCUCGUCUCUGCAUUUAGCUCCGCCACUUUGGUCAUUCCGACGCAUACAACUAUUUAAUCCAACGUGCUGUAAAAUACAUUGAAUGUACUGUAAGAGCUAUAGUUUAUAGGGAAGGUAUUAAGCAAUUAAUUGUGGCAUUUUUAUUUUUUUGCUGAUCAUAUUGAUCACACAAGACUAAAUAUAUGGCAUAACUGAUCUCAUAUUCUUUCCCUUGAGUACUUAAUGCAUUAAAUGCAAUUAAACGAAUUGAUGUAGACCAGGGGUGCCUAAUCCUGUUCCUGGAGAUCUUCCAUCCUGUAGGUUUUCAUUUAAACCCUAAUUUGGUAAACCUGAUUCUACUAAUUAUCAGCUCAAUGAGAUCUCUAGCUGUUGAAUGAGAUGUGCUUUGUUUGAAUUGGAGUGAAAUCCUACAGGAUGGUAGAUCUCCAGGAACAGGAUUGGGCACCCCUGAUGUAGACCAAAUGCAUUAAUGUGUUAAAGGUACUAUGCAUUGUAGAAAAGGUCAUUGAAAAUGGGUGAUUUAAACAUCAUGUAUCAUGGCAAACAUGGCUUUCAAAACUUUUCCCAGGAUGCACUGAUGCACAGCGAGUACACGCACUGUCUUUCCCAGGAUGCACAGCGAGUACACGCACUGUCUUUCCCAGGACGCACAGCGGGUACACGCACUGUCUUUCCCAAGAUGCACUGUGAGUGUACUUGCAGUUAUUCCCA